UGUUCCAUUCUCUAUUCCAUUCCUUCUAUACAAACAUAACAUAAACACCUUGACCUCAAAAUUCAAUUUUUUAAAUUAUAUUGUUCAGUUCAAUACAUAUGAUAAGCACCCAUCAACAACAAUACCAAUCGCCCAACUUUAUUAAUAUAAUUACCAUUAUAAUAUUAGUACCAAAACUGAUUUCUUUAGACUUUAGAUUCACCAGCCACUGCCAGCUAUACGUACCCAAUGUCAAUCAAUACUGAUUCUUAAUUCAAACACCAUUUUAAUCAACACUAUCAAAUGGGAAAAUUAUAUGACAAUCGUUCUAGUUUAACACAAACCUUCCUCUAUUUAUAUAUGUAGCUGUCACCAUUACAAAAAUAAAGAUAAAAUUAAAAAAUGAAUCAUAAACAAAACAAAUUAAAAUUUAAAGGAAAAACAAAUAAGCACACCUUUUGACAAUUCCCACUCAGACGGUCCAUUUCCAGAUCUUAAUCCGAAGAUCCACCUUACACUUGGCAUCCGCCGUCGAGGCCACCGUCGGUGACUUUCCGGCGGGUACCGUAGCUUUCAGGCCACUACAAGUGACCCUAAUUCCAACCUUCUUAGUUUUCAACCCACCAAUCUUCACUUUCACCUUUGUAUCCAACUGCAUCUUCAGUGGCAAGCUCUUCUUGUUCUUCAAAUUCAACGAACUACCGUCAACGCUUUGACUGGUGCUAGUGAGUACUGAUUUCAGAGUAGUUGUGUUUUUGGUUCCGUGGGUGAAGGCCGGAAUUGAACCGGCGCCGACGUUAACGCCGUUAGAGGUGAUUAAAACCGUGAUUGGAUUGUAAUAGAAGGUAAUCUUUUUGUUGGGAUUACGAGCUGUGACGGUGAGGUUGAAUUUGGAGGUGAGCUUAGAGGAGGAAGUGAGGUUGAAUUGGGAGACUUGGAGCGAGGAGACAGAAAAUGAGGGGCGAUGGGGGCGGUAGAGGACGUAUAGGACGCCGCCCGUAAUUGCGACGAGGACGAGGAGAAUGAUGACGACUAGAGUAGUCCAGAGGAAGCAUGAGCAGCAGCAGCUACGGCGGCGCCGAUCGUGGUAGGGUGUUGGACGGUAUGCAGGGCGGGUGGCUUUAUAGAGUUGGGCUUUGUUGGCCGGAAAAGAUGGAUUGGUGGCGGCGCCGUUAGUGGUGGGUGCGGCGGCGCCGUUAGAGACGUUUGAGGUGGGUUUGGAGGAUGGGAAAACCUUGUCUGUCAUGGCUAUUCAAGAGUUUGCCCCUUUCUGAUCUGUUUCAAUAGGUAAUAGGUAGUGUUAUGGAUGGUGUUGUAUCUAUAAUCUAUAAAUAUAUAUAUAUAUAUAUAUAUAUAUAUAUAUAUAUAUACUUCUCCGGUUAGGGAUUGGGAAAUUUAAAGGGCGGAAGAAGGGAGUAAUUCGAAGUGACGAGAGGAUGGAAGGUGGGAGAGAGACU
rnacentral:lncRNA from 1 species